rnacentral:rRNA from 1 species
CAACAGGGAUUGCCCUAGUAACGGCGAGUGAAGCGGCAACAGCUCAAAUUUGAAAUCUGGCUCUUUUAGGGUCCGAGUUGUAAUUUGCAGAGGGCGCUUUGGCUUUGGCAGCGGUCCAAGUUCCUUGGAACAGGACGUCACAGAGGGUGAGAAUCCCGUACGUGGUCGCUAGCUAUCGCCGUGUAAAGCCCCUUCGACGAGUCGAGUUGUUUGGGAAUGCAGCUCUAAAUGGGAGGUAAAUUUCUUCUAAAGCUAAAUAUUGGCCAGAGACCGAUAGCGCACAAGUAGAGUGAUCGAAAGAUGAAAAGCACUUUGGAAAGAGAGUCAAACAGCACGUGAAAUUGUUGAAAGGGAAGCGCUUGCAGCCAGACUUGCUUGCAGUUGCUCAUCCGGGCUUUUGCCCGGUGCACUCUUCUGUAGGCAGGCCAGCAUCAGUUUGGGCGGUGGGAUAAAGGUCUCUGUCACGUACCUCUCUUCGGGGAGGCCUUAUAGGGGAGACGACAUACCACCAGCCUAGACUGAGGUCCGCGCAUCUGCUAGGAUGCUGGCGUAAUGGCUGUAAGCGGCCCGUCUUGAAACACG